GUGCCAGCAGCCGCGGUAAGACGAACCGUGCGAACGUUGUUCGGAAUCACUGGGCUUAAAGGGCGCGUAGGCGGCUCAUCAAGUCGGGGGUGAAAUCUUUCGGCUCAACCGGAAAAGUGCCUUCGAUACUGACGAGCUCGAGCGAGGUAGGGGCAGCUGGAACUUCCGGUGGAGCGGUGAAAUGCGUUGAUAUCGGAAGGAACGCCGGUGGCGAAAGCGAGCUGCUGGACCUCUUCUGACGCUGAUGCGCGAAAGCCAGGGGAGCAAACGGGAUUAGAUACCCUCGUAGUCC
rnacentral:rRNA from 1 species